AGAGAAGUUUCCUUCGAGACUAAGCUCUCAUCAAUUGAUCUGCAGGAUUCCAAUGUGACAAUCACAAGAGUAUUUUACGAAUCAAGUGCCUAUGAGUUGACCCAAGCAGUUCUCGUAAUGGAUAAUUUAAGUCUUGUGGAUAGAAUCCUGGGUUUUAUAACUGAUUUCACAGGACUGUCUGGUCUACCUAUUGUGGAGUUGAUCAUUUCUCCUUUAGUGAUAUUGAUUAUAGCAAUCGUUAAAUUUAAUCUUGUCAUGUCUAGAAGCAGACGCUUAAAUACAAUCAUGACCAGACUUUAAAAUAAAAAAAAAAUUAAAUCUAGAUGUUAUGAAACGUAAAAAAUUUCAUGCAUCUCUCAUAGAAGUCUCAUUUCU